GGAAGCAUAGCUCAGUGGUAAAGUAUUUGACUGCAGAUCGAGAGGUCCCCGGCUCAAACCCCAGUGCUCUCU
rnacentral:tRNA from 1 species